GAAGGUGUAGCUCAAGUGGUAGAAUGCAUGCUUAGCAUGCACAAGGUCCUGGGUUCAAUUCCCAGUAUCUCCU
rnacentral:tRNA from 1 species